CAAUAGCGUAUAUCAAAGUUGUUGCAGUUAAAAAGCUCGUAGUUGGAUUUCUGGUGGGAGCGAUCGGUCUGGCGCUUAGCGCGAGUACUUGCAUCGUCUCCGGCCAUCCUUGGGGAGAGUCUGUCUGGCAUUAGGUUGUCGGGCAGAGGAUCCUCAUCGUUUACUGUGAAAAAACUAGAGUGUUCAAAGCAGGCUUAUGCCGCUGAAUAUAUUAGCAUGGAAUAAUAAGAUAGGACUUUGGUACUAUUUUGUUGGUUUGCGCACCAAAGUAAUGAUUAAUAGGGACAGUUGGGGGUAUUCGUAUUCCGUUGUCAGAGGUGAAAUUCUUGGAUUUACGGAAGACGAACUACUGCGAAAGCAUUUACCAAGGAUGUUUUCAUUAA
rnacentral:rRNA from 1 species